UAGGGAAUCUUCGGCAAUGGGCGAGAGCCUGACCGAGCAACGCCGCGUGAAUGAUGAAGGCCUUCGGGUUGUAAAAUUCUGUUAUAAGGGAAGAAUGGCUCUAGUAGGAAAUGGCUAGAGUGUGACGGUACCUUAUGAGAAAGCCACGGCUAACUACGUGCCAGCAGCCGCGGUAAUACGUAGGUGGCGAGCGUUAUCCGGAAUUAUUGGGCGUAAAGAGCGCGCAGGUGGUUGAUUAAGUCUGAUGUGAAAGCCCACGGCUUAACCGUGGAGGGUCAUUGGAAACUGGUCAACUUGAGUGCAGAAGAGGGAAGUGGAAUUCCAUGUGUAGUGGUGAAAUGCGUAGAGAUAUGGAGGAACACCAGUGGCGAAGGCGGCUUCAUGGGCUGUAACUGACACUGAGGCGCGAAAGCGUGGGGAGCAAGCA
rnacentral:rRNA from 1 species